UGGGGAAUAUUGGACAAUGGGCGCAAGCCUGAUCCAGCCAUGCCGCGUGUGUGAAGAAGGCCUUUUGGUUGUAAAGCACUUUAAGCGAGGAGGAGGCUACUUGGAUUAAUACUCUAGGAUAGUGGACGUUACUCGCAGAAUAAGCACCGGCUAACUCUGUGCCAGCAGCCGCGGUAAUACAGAGGGUGCGAGCGUUAAUCGGAUUUACUGGGCGUAAAGCGUGCGUAGGCGGCUUUUUAAGUCGGAUGUGAAAUCCCUGAGCUUAACUUAGGAAUUGCAUUCGAUACUGGGAAGCUAGAGUAUGGGAGAGGAUGGUAGAAUUCCAGGUGUAGCGGUGAAAUGCGUGGAGAUCUGGAGGAAGACCGAUGGCGAAGGCAGCCAUCUGGCCAAAAACGGACGCUGAGGUACGAAAGCAUGGGGAGCAAACAGG
rnacentral:rRNA from 1 species